GAAUCAAGGGCUACUGCAACAUCUGUCACCCCAUUGAUUUCCAGGGUUGAUUCAGCUGAUCUGGCUGUCUAGGCGGGUGUCCCCUUUCGCCCUCACCACUCCAUGUGCGUCCCUCCCAAAGCUGUGUGCUCGGUCGAAGAGGAGGACUUUCCCCAAAUAGAGGAGGACCGGUCUUCCAGUCAAGGGUAUACGAGUAGCUGCACUCCCCUGCUAGAACCUCAAUACAAGCUCUCAAGAACCGAGGGCUGCCAGAGUAACAUAAUAGUGUGGAGUCACCACUGAGCCAGGAGGGAGACUUAGGUUUGAAGGACAACUCUUUAGCUGAGAUUUCUCUCUUUCUCUUGCCUGUCUUU
rfam:Mesocricetus auratus contig192596, whole genome shotgun sequence.